rnacentral:rRNA from 1 species
GACAGAGGGUGCAAACGUUGUUCGGAAUUACUGGGCGUAAAGCGUGUGUAGGCUGCUCCAUAAGUCGGAUGUGAAAGCCCCGGGCUCAACCCGGGAAGUGCACUCGAUACUGUGGAGCUCGAGUAUCGGAGAGGUUGGUGGAAUUCUCGGUGUAGAGGUGAAAUUCGUAGAUAUCGAGAGGAACACCGGUGGCGAAGGCGGCCAACUGGACGAAUACUGACGCUGAGGAGCGAAAGCGUGGGGAGCGAACAGG